rnacentral:rRNA from 1 species
UACGUAGGGUGCGAGCGUUAAUCGGAAUACUGGGCGUAAAGCGUGCGCAGGCGGCUUUGCAAGACAGAUGUGAAAUCCCCGGGCUCACCUGGGAACUGCAUUUGUGACUGCACAGCUGGAGUGCGGCAGAGGGGGAUGGAAUUCCGCGUGUAGCAGUGAAAUGCGUAGAUAUGCGGAGGAACACCGAUGGCGAAGGCAAUCCCCUGGGCCUGCACUGACGCUCAUGCACGAAAGCGUGGGGAGU